CCUGAGGUUAAUAAGCUCACCUGUUUGUCAUCAGGUGAUUGUCUCACCACUAUUUUGAUUGAGGAACGCCUUCUGUUGUUGACUGAGUUUUAAGCUAUGUUAGUAAAACCGGCUCUCGUGUGCUUUCAGAGGCUGGCUGUCAAGAUUGUUUCCUAAAUGCCUGUGGCAUUUAUCAGAAGAGGGAGACCAGGGGAUUUAAGCUACACUGUCGACUGUGCCUAGAAGGAGAGCUGAGGCCUGACAGGAGUGGGAGGUGAUACGGAGUACUGUUGGAGCCUCUGGGCUUGGAUUGGAAGCAAUGUUUCCAUCAGUCUGUCAGUCUGACCCGCCAGCCUGUGGGAUAUGCUGCUCAGUCACAAGGAAGAUCUCCCUCAAACAUGCAAUAUGUGUGACUGACUGAGGCCUGCCAACUAAGCUGCUGAUGCAGUGCUGACUUAAGUCAUACCUGUGGUUUGUGAACUUUCCAAUGUAAUCAAAUGCAUUUCCGUUGUAGGGAUAAUUAUCAUUAUUAAAUGGUGAAAAAACAG